rnacentral:rRNA from 1 species
CCCUUAGAUGUUCUGGGCCGCACGCGCGCUACACUGUUCGACGCAGCGAGUCUUAACCUUGACCGAAAGGUUUGGGUAAUCUUCAGCAAAGUCGAACGUGAUGGGGAUCGAUCAUUGCAAUUAUCGAUCGUGAACGAGGAAUUCCUAGUAAGUGCACGUCAUCAGCUUGCGCUGAUUACGUCCCUGCCCUUUGUACACACCGCCCGUCGCUACUACCGAUUGAAUGGUUUAGUGAGAUCUCUGGAUUGACGCUGGCUAGGGGGCGACCCUUGGCCAGACUGUUGAGAACCUGCUCAAACUUGAUCAUUUAGAGGAAGUAAAAGUCGUAACA